GACGAACGCUGGCGGCGUGCUUAACACAUGCAAGUCGAACGGAAAGGCCCUGCUUUUGUGGGGUGCUCGAGUGGCGAACGGGUGAGUAACACGUGAGUAACCUGCCCUUGACUUUGGGAUAACUUCAGGAAACUGGGGCUAAUACCGGAUAGGAGCUCCUGCUGCAUGGUGGGGGUUGGAAAGUUUCGGCGGUUGGGGAUGGACUCGCGGCUUAUCAGCUUGUUGGUGGGGUAGUGGCUUACCAAGGCUUUGACGGGUAGCCGGCCUGAGAGGGUGACCGGCCACAUUGGGACUGAGAUACGGCCCAGACUCCUACGGGAGGCAGCAGUGGGGAAUAUUGCACAAUGGGCGGAAGCCUGAUGCAGCAACGCCGCGUGCGGGAUGACGGCCUUCGGGUUGUAAACCGCUUUCGCCUGUGACGAAGCGUGAGUGACGGUAAUGGGUAAAGAAGCACCGGCUAACUACGUGCCAGCAGCCGCGGUGAUACGUAGGGUGCGAGCGUUGUCCGGAUUUAUUGGGCGUAAAGGGCUCGUAGGUGGUUGAUCGCGUCGGAAGUGUAAUCUUGGGGCUUAACCCUGAGCGUGCUUUCGAUACGGGUUGACUUGAGGAAGGUAGGGGAGAAUGGAGUUCCUGGUGGAGCGGUGGAAUGCGCAGAUAUCAGGAGGAACGCCAGUGGCGAAGGCGGUUCUCUGGGCCUUUCCUGACGCUGAGGAGCGAAAGCGUGGGGAGCGAACAGGCUUAGAUACCCUGGUAGUCCACGCUGUAAACGGUGGGUACUAGGUGUGGGGUCCAUUCCACGGGUUCCGUGCCGUAGCUAACGCUUUAAGUACCCCGCCUGGGGAGUACGGCCGCAAGGCUAAAACUCAAAGGAAUUGACGGGGCCCCGCACAAGCGGCGGAGCAUGCGGAUUAAUUCGAUGCAACGCGUAGAACCUUACCUGGGUUUGACAUGGAUCGGGAGUGCUCAGAGAUGGGUGUGCCUCUUUUGGGGUCGGUUCACAGGUGGUGCAUGGCUGUCGUCAGCUCGUGUCGUGAGAUGUUGGGUUAAGUCCCGCAACGAGCGCAACCCUUGUUCACUGUUGCCAGCACGUUAUGGUGGGGACUCAGUGGAGACCGCCGGGGUCAACUCGGAGGAAGGUGGGGAUGACGUCAAGUCAUCAUGCCCCUUAUGUCCAGGGCUUCACGCAUGCUACAAUGGCUGGUACAGAGAGUGGCGAGCCUGUGAGGGUGAGCGAAUCUCGGAAAGCCGGUCUCAGUUCGGAUUGGGGUCUGCAACUCGACCUCAUGAAGUCGGAGUCGCUAGUAAUCGCAGAUCAGCAACGCUGCGGUGAAUACGUUCCCGGG
rnacentral:rRNA from 1 species